UGGGGAAUAUUGCACAAUGGGGGGAACCCUGAUGCAGCGACGCCGCGUGAGUGAAGAAGUAUCUCGGUAUGUAAAGCUCUAUCAGCAGGGAAGAAGAUGACGGUACCUGACUAAGAAGCCCCGGCUAACUACGUGCCAGCAGCCGCGGUAAUACGUAGGGGGCGAGCGUUAUUCGGAUUUACUGGGUGUAAAGGGAGCGUAGACGGCCGUGCAAGUCAGGAGUGAAAACCCGCGGCUCAACUGCGGGACUGCUCUUGAGACUGUAUGGCUGGAGUGCAGGAGAGGUAAGUGGAAUUCCUAGUGUAGCGGUGAAAUGCGUAGAUAUUAGGAGGAACACCAGUGGCGAAGGCGGCUUACUGGACUGUGACUGACGUUGAGGCUCGAAAGCGUGGGGAGCAAACAGGAUUAGAUACCC
rnacentral:rRNA from 1 species